AGCUUUGCAUAGUGGUAGUAUCGUAGCCAAAGAGGUUUAUCUGAGGCACAAUUAUUGCUAAUUGAAACUAAAAUAAGAGCUAAUGCUUAGAAUGGAGAAAACUCAGUUUUGGAAUAUGUAAACCCUAGAUCCCAAU